rnacentral:rRNA from 1 species
GACGGAGGAGGCAAGCGUUAUCCGGAAUUAUUGGGCGUAAAGCGUCCGCAGGUGGCUUCACCAGUCUGCUGUCAAAGGCCGGGGCUUAACCCUGGAGCGGCGGUGGAAACUGUGAGGCUAGAGUGCGGUAGGGGCAGAGGGAAUUCCAGGUGUAGCGGUGAAAUGCGUAGAUAUCUGGAAGAACACCCGUGGCGAAAGCGCUCUGCUGGGCCUGCACUGACACUCAUGGACGAAAGCUAGGGGAGCGAAUGGG